AAUGAACGCUGGCGGCAUGCCUAACACAUGCAAGUCGAACGAGACCACCGGGAGUGGUUGCGCAUGGGUGUGUCGCGCGGCGGAAGGUUCCCUUAUGUUUCGAAUAACUCUCCGACAGGGGUGCUAACGCCGGAUAAUGUCUGCUAACCAAAGAUAUAUCGCACUGGGUUGAGCACGCGUUGGAUUAGCUAUUUGGUAGGGUAAAAGCCUACCAAGGCGACGAUCCUUAGCUGGGUAGAGAGGAUGAGCAGCCACACUGGGAGGGAGAUACGGCCCGGAAUCCUGCGGGAGGGGGCAGUGGGGAAUAUUGGAAAAUGGGCGAGAGCCAGAUGCAGCUAUGCCUCGUGAGUCAUUAUGGUCUGAGAGUAAUAAAGCUCUUUUACACGGGAUGAUUCUGACAGUACCGGAAGAAUAAGCUCCGGCUAACUUCGUG
rnacentral:rRNA from 1 species